UACGAAGGGUGCAAACGUUGCUCGGAAUUAUUGGGCGUAAAGCGCACGUAGGCGGCUUGGCAAGUCGGAUGUGAAAUCCCUCGGCUCAACCAAGGAAGUGCAUCCGAAACUGCCGAGCUUGAGUACUUAAGAGGAUCGCGGAAUUCCCGGUGUAGAGGUGAAAUUCGUAGAUAUUGGGAAGAACACCAGUGGCGAAGGCGGCUAACUGGUCCAGUACUGACGCUGAGGUGCGAAAGCGUGGGGAGCAAACAGG
rnacentral:rRNA from 1 species